AUGUAUUGUGAUGUUGAUGUGUUAUAGGUCAUAUAUAUUUCUAGCAAAUUGGGAAACUUGUUACAUGUACAUGUACUACCAGAGAUUAAUUAUUCGAAAUCAAACAUGAAUCUAUUCCUUUGAACAUUCCUUAUUCGGUGGAUCCAUGUGACCAAUGUUUUAUAGGUUGCUGUGAGUUUUUGUUGCUUUUUGAAGCUAAUGUUGCUUUUUCAAAUAUUUUGGUUGCAACUAUAUAGCCAAUAUUUUAUGGCUAAUGAUUUUCUCAGGAAGAGUUUUUUCUUUUCUCCACAAUGAGAAGAUUUUCACUAAGUAAUUUCAUAAUUAUAUUUUGUUAUAUGGUACUUUUUUCUUCUUAGAUAUAAAGUGUUCAAUUGAAAAUAUAUACGUUGACUUUAUUUAUAAGCAUUCAAAUGCAUGUUAGGAAAAUUCUAAAUAUUCUAGCUCCAAAAUUAGCCUGGUAAUGUACCUGAAUUUUUGGGAAUAAACAGGUUUAAAUGUCAAUAAACAAGGAAUAAUAUAUCAAGGUAAAUUAUAUCAAACCAAGGAACAUCUCGUGUGUCCUUGCACUAGAUUAUUUCAAGCUGCAGAUUUAUUUUCCCGUCGAUGAGUGUAGACUGAGAUAAAGAUGGUUCAUUUUAUAGAAAUAUUUGUUACUUAUUUUUUUAAUUAUGAUCAUAAAGUUGUUCACAUUUAUUAGAUGCAAUCUUUGUUAUUGAUGCACAAGAGCUAAUGAUGCAUGAUGCUUAAAAGUGUGAAAAGAAAAUAAUGGUGUGUUAAUUUAAUAAAAAUGCCUAAAGAUU
rnacentral:misc_RNA from 1 species